AAAGUCGUAACAAGGUAACCGUAGGUGAACCUGCGGUUGGAUCAUUAAAAAUAAAGGAUGAAGGCGUUUGGGGAACUGCGCUUCUGUCCGGACGUGGCUUCCGAGUGCCAGUAGAGCGAGGUUCAGAAGGGUGCCAGUGGAGCGGGCCAUGGGUGGUGCCGGCCAUGCGUGGUGCCAGGGUGAGCGGGGCUCAGAGCGCCAGAGGAGCCGUGUCCCGGGGAUGCGCGAUUCCACCAAACGGGUUGGUUCUUUCCACCUGUCGUGUUUUUUCUUUUUCUUUUUUUUUGUUUUUGUUUCUGCAAAAAAGCAAAAAUAAAACAACUUUUGGCAACGGAUCUCUUGGCUCUC
rnacentral:misc_RNA from 1 species